GACGAACGCUGGCGGCGUGCCUAAUACAUGCAAGUCGAACGAGUGGCGGACGGGUGAGUAACACGUGGGAACCUACCCAUCAGAGGGGGAUAACACUUGGAAACAGGUGCUAAUACCGCAUACUGAUGUAUGUACCCGGGGGGGAUUAGCUAGUAGGUGGGGUAAAGGCUCACCUAGGCGACGAUCGCUAGCUGGUCUGAGAGGAUGAUCAGCCACACGGGGACUGCGACACGGCCCAGACUCCUACGGGAGGCAGCAGUGGGGAAUAUUGCACAAUGGGCGCAAGCCUGAUGCAGCCAUGCCGCGUGUAUGAAGAAGGCCUUAGGGUUGUAAAGUACUUUCAGUGGGGAGGCGUUACCCGCAGAAGAAGCACCGGCUAACUCCGUGCCAGCAGCCGCGGUAAUUC
rnacentral:rRNA from 1 species